UUUUUUAGGGAAUAAAAUACAAAGAGAAUGCGUGGGAGGAUUUGCCACAGGAGCAACAAAGACCAAGAAGGAAAAGGACAAAUGUUAAGCUAUUGAACUCUACUGUUAUUGAAAAGAUCACAUUAGGAUAUCCUCCAUGGCGGCUGGGUAACUAAGACAAUGCAGUGGAAUGCCUGGCUGAGAGGGAUGUUUUACUUAUGAAAUAACCCAGGACCAGAGUUCUGCUUAUGGGUCCUGCCAGGAGCUUCUCAAGUAAAUGGACAAUGAAAUAAAUGAAAGAACAUAGCCAAG